UAAGCCAGGGGCAUGGAAAAGAUAACUUUUAUAUCGGUCUGGGAUUGGCUAUGAGCUCUAAUAUUUUCACUGGAGGGAGUUUCAUUUUCCAAAAGGAAAAAAAAAUGGUCUGCGACUUGUGAGAAAAGCCUCAUGACAACUGGUCAAGGUGGUCAUACACAUUUUAGAGAAUGGAGGUUGUAGAUGGAAUUCUUGUUGAUGAGAGCUGGGGAGAUGGCCAAUGUUACUGAUGCAUUUGCACGAGCCACAUCAGUGAUUCCAUUAGGAGUUCUUGGAGACUGAGAAAGUGCUACUCUUUCUUCAUACUUUUUAAAUGAAUGACUUAAUCUCAUGGGAAUAUUGGGUAGUUGCUAAGUAUUCUAGGAUCUACAGUUAUGGUCAGUCUGCCAUGCUUUAAAAGAAGAGGGGUUAGAGAACUUAUAGGAAAUGUUUCACAAGCUAGGUGAUUCAGGUUUUGUGGUGUUUGCAACACUCGUGGUCAUUGUGUCCCUGAUUAUUAAUCUCUAUAGUGGGACUUUGCCAUGGACAGAUAAAUGUUCUUGUGUAUAUAACCAUUGACUCUGUAAUUGGAGCAUUUUCAGUCUUCUGUGUGAAGGGCUUAGGCAUUGCUAUUAAAGAGUUGUCGCCUGGACUUUGACGUGCCCUGACAUGAUUUCGCUGCUGAGCUUUGUUGUCUGUGUGAGCCCACAGAUUAAUUACCUAAAUAAGGCCCUGAAUAUAUUCAACAAUUUUAUAGUGACUCCAAUACAUGAAGUAUUUUUUACAACAUUAGUUUUAACUUGUUCAGCUAUUCUUUUUAAGCCAUGUCAAGGUAUGUCUGUUGAUAAUGUCAUUGAUACUUUGAGUGGCUUUUUAUAAUCAUUGUGGGGAUAUUCUUGUUGCAAGCCUUUAGAGAUGUCAGCUUUAAUUUAGCAAGUCUGCCUCUGCCUAUCCUAAAAGGCGAAAAAGAAAGGAAUAGCAACCUCUCUAAUAUCUAAAGUUUUUAAUAAUAAUGAAGAAGGCUUAACCUGUGGAAUUGAACAACAUACUGGUGAAAAUAACUCCUGAAUACAUGGAAAUCAUGGAACUCAGGCAGCUUUUUAA
rnacentral:lncRNA from 1 species